UACGAAGGGUGCAAGCGUUACUCGGAAUCACUGGGCGUAAAGCGUGCGUAGGCGGUUCGUUAAGUCUGUUGUGAAAGCCCUGGGCUCAACCUGGGAACUGCAGUGGAUACUGGCGAGCUAGAGUACGGUAGAGGAAGGUGGAAUUCCCGGUGUAGCGGUGAAAUGCGUAGAGAUCGGGAGGAACACCAGUGGUGAAGGCGGCCUUCUGGACCAGUACUGACGCUGAGGCACGAAAGCGUGGGGAGCAAACAGG
rnacentral:rRNA from 1 species